GUUGGCUAGCGUCGGAUGGAAAUCGACGCGAUAGUGCAAAGGCAAAAGCCAGCUUAACUGCAAGACUUACAAGUCGCGCAGAUAGGAAACUAGGGCUUAGUGAUCCUCUGCUUAUGUAUGACAGUGGCAGAGCUCAACGAAUAAAAGCUACCCCGGGGAUAACAGGCUGAUCGGACCCAACAGUUCAUAUCGACGGUCCGGUUUGGCACCUCGAUGUCGGCUCAUCGCAACCUGGGGCUGUAGUAGGUCCCAAGGGUUGGGCUGUUCGCCCAUUAAAGCGGUACGCGAGCUGGGUUCAGAACGUCGCGAGACAGUUCGGUCCUAAUCUGCUGUGGGCGUUGAAACUUGAGGGAAAUUCUUCCUAGUACGAGAGGACCGGAAGGAACAAGCCUCUAGUGUACCAGUUGUCCUGCCAAGGGCAUCGCUGGGUAGCUAUGCUUGUUUAGAUAACCGCUGAAAGCAUCUAAGCGGGAAGCUAUACCCAAGAUUAGGUUUCGUUAUGAGAUUCCCCGUAGACUACGGGGUUGAUAGGCUACUGGUGUAAGUUCUGCAAAGAAUUCAGCCUGGUAGUACUAAUA
rnacentral:rRNA from 1 species